rnacentral:rRNA from 1 species
GUCUACGGUCAUACUACGUUGAAAACACCGGUUCUCGUCCGAUCACCGAAUUUAAGCAACGUCGGGCCCGGUUAGUACUUGGAUGGGUGACCGCCUGGGAAUACCGGGUGCUGUAAACU